rnacentral:rRNA from 1 species
UACAGAGGGGGCAAGCGUUGUCCGGAUUUACUGGGCGUAAAGAGCGCGUAGGCGGAACGUUAAGUCCGAUCUGAAAGCCCCCGGCUCAACCGGGGAGGGUGGUUGGAACUGGCGUUCUUGAGGGCGAUAGAGGAAGGUGGAAUUCCUGGUGUAGCGGUGAAAUGCGUAGAGAUCAGGAGGAACACCGGUGGCGAAGGCGGCCUUCUGGGUCGACCCUGACGCUGAGGCGCGAAAAGCGUGGGGGAGCGAACGGGG